rnacentral:lncRNA from 1 species
UCACAGAGUACAUGAGCGUCUAAAUCAGAUACAGUAUCUAUAUAAUAAAAUUUGAAAUACAAAUAGAAAUAAAGACCGUGAACGCCAUGCAGCUACAUCGAUACUCUCCGAACUCUGAUGCCUCAAUCAGCAGUAGUAGCCGCCGUGACCGGAACGCCUGGAUCCGCACACGAAUUGCAGGGAGUAACGUGCGUACGUCCAACUCACUAAGUAAUAAUUCCAACCUUUAGGCUAAAAGGUAGUGAGGAACUCAAUCGGUACAAUUAACAACAGAAAUAACAGUGCAGAAACGUAGGCAUGCUUUCAAAUUAAAUAGGCAGUAGAUCAGAUCUGAACAAUGUAAAGAAUAUAACUCUUCUAUCUCUACAUUCCAAUGCAUAUGUUGUAUGUGAUGCACCAUGCUGUCGGCCUCAUGUGCUCACACUCUCAAAUGUUCAAUCACUCGGUACAAUAUAUGGCCCAUACGACCCAGGGAAGAUCCAUCCUGAAAUAUAUACGUUGUCACACCUCCUUUUUUCUAUGCCCGUAAGGGUGUAAAGGUAGUUUUUCUAAUUAAAGGACAAUCAGAACGAGAUUUAUUAUUAAGAUAUAAGGUUGCCACUUGGGAGAUUAAUAGUGUCCCAAGUCAACGGUUGAACCCCGAACCGAGGAUAAUAUGACUCUGUUAACAGUCCGCGAAUCAGAAAUCCGAGUAAGAAAUUCGGGUAACCGGGGAGAAGAUGUUACGCAUUUUCGGGUUCCAUGGUUCUACCACGGUCGCUCAACUAUCGUGUUUAGCUUAUUUAGUUGAUUUUAUUACAUGAUGAACCUAUGUGCCGCUUUUAACUUUUAAUCGCUUUUAUUUAAUAUUUUUUAAAGAAAGUUGAACAUCGUUUAUAGCAUACCUUCGGAUUACGUCACAUGAAAUGCACCCACAAUCCUGAACACACUUUAUUCCACGUUUUGGGAUUUGAUUUGGGUCACAUGAAGAGUUUAGGAAUGUAAUAUUAUUAAAAUCGCGUCUAAAGUGGCUAACGCGUUAUUGUCUUUUGGGAAGGCCAUGAAUUCGUUAAAAGGCCUAUCCCGAAUUCUAAGUAUUUUAAUAUAUACAUUUUUGAGGACCCCGCAAUGCAUUCUAUUUGGUGUGUCUCGUCUAAUUUUAUUAUUUAAGAGUCAAUCUUAAAGCAAUUUAUAAUUUUCUACUUAAUUUUUCUCUAAAAAUAAAAGUAAUCCUAAUUAAUUAUCAUAUGUGAAAGGGCCUAGUUCCUAUAAUUCAAAUUCAACCAACCAGACCCAAUAACUGAAUGAAUAGAACAGGACACCUUUCACAAUUGAUUUAACACAAAACAGGCUUUAUUUAGAAUGAGAUGAGCUAUUUGAGCCCAUGACAAACCCAUAAACGAAUGGCACAAAGUAUUUUGAUACCUUUAAUAUGACUACACCAAUAAAAAAGGGAUCGUAUUGAUUGGAAUGUAAUUUCUUACUUUGUCAAAGUGAAUGUGGACAUAUGGACAUAAGUCUGAAAUGGCAAGCCCAAUAUGAACGAGUUAAUUAAUCCCAAGUUUGAAGUUGCACUUGAUUUCAAAAUCAACCACACAUUCCCCUGGAAUUCCACAACUAUUCUAGACACACGAACUACACCUAAUUAAACAUGUUAACCAUAGAAGUCACAUUCUUCGAGGAAUACAUUGAAUUGAUUCAAAGGUUCUCAAGCUAAAAACAGUCUAGAGUUUAUCAGCAUUCGAAUUAUAUUAAACUAAUACAUUGGCUGCCUAUUCAACUGUUGAUGCAUUAUAAUACAAACAGAUAGAAUUCCAGGAGCAAAUGUUUCAUUUCAUUUUCAUUUCCAAAAGCUACAACGACCAGAUUCGAACUGUGUACCUGGAAAUAUAUCGAAUAGGAGGGAAGUUAGCAACAGAAGAGCAGUCAGCAGCAAGAAUCCGUAAUAACCAGCCCAGAAAUAACGUUAAUUCAACCCAGUAAAAGCGCGAACACCAAAUCAAACAGGAAAACCAAUCAAACUAGCUUUACUAACACCAAAUUUACUUGAAAAUGCACCAAAUCGCUUCAGUAAACACCAAACUCAACUAAAACUGGAAAAUGUGAAAUGAUUCACUAGAAAUCAGAAUCAAUCUGCAACUUUUCAAUGAAAUGGUAGGUUUCUUAAUGUCCGACCUAGUUAUCACUCUUAGCUUAAACUCUCUUCAACUCUCAAAAUGUUGUAAAAAACUGAAUCCUCUCUUUUUUUUAGUUCCC